rnacentral:misc_RNA from 1 species
GAUGAAGAACGUAGCGAAAUGCGAUACUUGGUGUGAAUUGCAGAAUCCCGUGAACCAUCGAGUCUUUGAACGCAAGUUGCGCCUCAAGCCAUUAGGUUGAGGGCACGUCUGCCUGGGCGUCACAUAUCGUUGCCUGAUGCCAGUUUCCUCGUGAUGGGUGACUGUGCAGGGCGAAUGAUGGCUUCCCGUGAGCAUUGUUGCCUCAUGGUUGGUUGAAAAUUGAGUCCUUGGUAGGGAGCGCCGUGAUAGAUGGUGGUUGAGUGACGAACGAGACCCAAUCAUGUGAGACCCCUACCGAAUUUGGCCUUCAUGACCCACAUGCGUCUUUGGAACGCUCAUGACGAGACCUAAGGUCAGGCGGGGCUACCCGCUGAGUUUAGGCAUAUCAAUAAGCGGAGGA